rnacentral:rRNA from 1 species
GACGAACGCUGGCGGCGUGCUUAACACAUGCAAGUCGAACGAUGAAGCCCAGCUUGCUGGGUGGAAGAGUGGCGAACGGGUGAGUAACACGUGAGUAACCUGCCCAUGACUCUGGGAUAAGCGCUGGAAACGGCGUCUAAUACUGGAUAUGCACAGCGGCCGCAUGGUCAGUUGUGGGAAAGAUUUAUCGGUCAUGGAUGGACUCGCGGCCUAUCAGCUUGUUGGUGAGGUAAUGGCUCACCAAGGCGACGACGGGUAGCCGGCCUGAGAGGGUGACCGGCCACACUGGGACUGAGACACGGCCCAGACUCCUACGGGAGGCAGCAGUGGGGAAUAUUGCACAAUGGGCGCAAGCCUGAUGCAGCAACGCCGCGUGAGGGAUGACGGCCUUCGGUGUAACCGUCUUUACGUAGGUAGAAGCGUAAGUGACGGUACCUGCGAGAAAAGACACCGGCUAACUACGUGCCAGCAGCCGCGGUAAAC